GACUUUGGAUUUCCGUCUCUUGCGGCGGCGGGAAAGCAUCCGCUAGCUCUGGGAUGAAGCGCCACUAAUCCUGCAUCCCCAGACAGCAUCCCUUUCCUAGUCGAGGUAACUAAAACCAAUCAGUAAAAAAGUGGGCGGUGCCUACUGCUGAGAGGAUUCAGUCUCUGUUCCGACAGCCGUUCCGGCCCGGCAGCUCUCCUGCUCUCGGGCUGCGAGGGGGGAGCGGUGGCGUGGACUCAGAGCGCUCGGGGCUCUCCACCUGGUUCUGGCACAGGAGAGGCACCGGGUUCUGGAGAAAAGAACACGUGGUUGAGUUAGACCUGGUUGUUAUUCAGGUCUCUGUAUGGGGAACAGCCACAGAUCACAAGGGUGGAAUGAAGACGGCUAAUUGGAAGUGUCGACUGAAAAAAUGCACAACCUAAAAGUUGGGAAUUAUGUUUUAUUCAGCGGACAUACUGAGGACUUAAGCCCGGAGACAGCCUCUCACGUAGCUCUGAGGGAUUUCUCCAAAGAGGUAAGGGAGGAGCCAAGAUAUAUAGGAAUUUUUUGCAACAAACAAACAAAAAACAAAAAAACCCCAGGUAGUCGGAACAUCAAAAGCUUACUGUUAAUUAAAGAAAAACCAGAAUCUCAAGUUAAUGCAUUUAGCACUUUUCUACGUAUGAGCAGGUGUGCAGGAUGCUCAUUGAAAUCAUUUCUUUGAUACGCACCUUAGCCAUCUGGGGCCAGUAUCCUGCUCGCUCCAUCCUGAACACCCUCCGGGUGCACCAUGGGGACGUGGGGUGCCUGUGGUUGCUGAGGGCUUGAUGAUCGCAACAUCCUUUGUUUACUGAUAUGGCAGGCGACAUUCUCUGUCCACAGGAGGCUGUUACAGGAAUCCAACCCAGACAUGGGUGUACUUGGAUAAGAGCACCGUCGUGGGCAAUGGGAUAUAGAUAUACUUUGGAGGUGGAGCCAGCAGUGGAUUGGGUGUAGUUGUGAGAAAAAUCCUAGGGAUCUAGGGUAACGUUGUGAGGUGAAUGGUGGAGCAGAGAUGGUUAUGAGCGGGUUUGGGGUGAAAAUCAAGAUUUGGGACACCUCAGGUUUGAUAUGUCUCUUAGAAAUACAAGAGGAGACAUUACAGAUAAAUGAAUCUGGAAUUCAGAGAUGUUUUGGCUGGAGACGUGGAUUUGGGUGUCCUAGUGUCAAAAUGAGACUGAAAGCCCUAGGACUAAAUGAGAACACCUGGGGAGCGAGAGUAGCGAGUGAAUGAGGCGAGAGCCCCAGGCUGAGACGCGGGCUCUGUGACCUUUAGAAGUCAGAAGGGCAGAACAAUCUAGUAAAGGGAGUACAGGAGGAGCGGCUAAGGGGAAUGAGGAAAACGGGCCGAGUAUGGUGACCAGAACCACGUGAAGAAAGUGUCAAGAAAGAAGAAACAUCAAAUGCUAUUAAGAGUUAAGCAUAAAAAACCCAACAAAAACCCGACUUAGCAAGAUGCACGGCACUGACAAGACGGUUUUAGUAACGUGUUAAGGAUGACAGUUGAAUUGGAGUGGGCUCAAGGCAGAGCCGGAGGAAAAGGGUAGACCGUCAGUAAAGGCCUGUAAGGAAGAGCAGGGAGGUACAGAGAGGGUAAAAAUGUGAACUAUUACAGCGGGUUUGUAUGUGAAUGGAAAUGAAACAUUGACUGGGGUGGGGGAUAGAAUUACAGGAUCAAAGUCCUUGAGUGGAUGAGAGGGACAGAUCUGACCCCAGAUGAGGCCACCCUGAGGGGCUGCAUUAUUCUCACCUGACCAGGCCAUGGAAAUUCCUGGAAUGUGGCCACCUCUCAGCCAGGCUGGGGCCCCUGUCUGCCGGGUGUGGCCACAUCUGAGCAUCAGAGCUGGUUCCACCGCCUCCUCAGGACCUACCCCCCUCCCCUGGUGUUGCCAACAUCCCAGGGCUUGGAGCCCAGGACAACUCAGCUAGAUUUUAGUUAAGAGGUUCUGCUGAGUGUGGAAAUAGCUAAAUACUAUUUCUAGGAGGCGACAGAGCAGAGACUCUGCAAUCAGGAGAGUGGAUUUGAAUCUUGGCCCUGAAACUUCCCUCCCAGCUGUGCGACCUGGACAAAUCACUUCUCUGAGUCUCAGGUUUCUCAUCUGCAACGUGGAGAUGAUAACUCUACCAAGACACCUUCUGAGAUUGUGAGGUAGAAACGGGAUAGUGGGUGUGCAAAGGCUCCGUCAGAGCUCUGUAAGCUGGGACGUGAGAUGCAAAUGCCAUAAAUUGUCAUGAGACUUCAUUCACUCUAUCAUUCCCCCAUUCAUCUCUCAAAACAGGCACAGCUUGUAGAGGAAGCAUUUCUUGGGACACAUUCCUGGGCACUCCUCUCUGUGGCUUUAAUUUUCAUAACUAGACUUUUAAGCUUUUUUAAAGAUAAGAGCAAGUGCUUGGCUCCUUGUGAGAGCCUCCAAAUUUCACUACAGACAUAAAUAUAUCACGUCAAGAUCACCAGCUGAGAGGGAGGGGAGACGUAUUAUUAUCUUCAAAGCUUUCUGGGAACCUAUUAAAUGCUAAUAACAAAGCACUGGGAUAGUCUAGAGUGCAAACACCUAUCACAUGCAUGCGCCUCCUUUCUCCCUGGGCGCCCAUCAACAUUUCUGCUGGAGGAAGAGAGAAUCAAGUGUGUCCCCGAAGAAUGGACCCUCUGAGUGCUCCAGGACCUGCUAGCGGCCUGGCCUAUCCACACCUGAAGCUGAAACCCCAUGUGUUUUGCGUAGCGCUAGGGAGAAAGGUAAAGAAACGAAUACGGGCUGGGUACACAGUGUUUGGAGCCAUAAAAGGCUCAUUACUCAGGUUAUCUCAUCACUGAGUUGGGAGGUAAUCGUUCUCUCCUCAUCAAACUGGGAGGGAAAUUGAGGCUCACUGGCUUACGUGGCCAACAAGAGCCAGAGGGGGACAUGGUAACUCAUUUCUCCCUGCUUCAAAGCCCACUCGUUCUGCUAACAGAGUAGGUGUUUCAUAAAGGUUUUCGUAGUGAAUGAGCGAGUGGAUGCAGAAUUGCCUUUUGUCAAAGGACAUCAACAGCCGGAAGGCACAGCCCCGAUUACACAGAAGCAAAACCGCCUUGUAAGAUUCAUGUGAGGUCUCAGAGUGUGGCCUGAAAAACUCAGGAGUUUCCCAAACUCUCGAGUGAUAAGAUCACAGGCAAGUUGCAGAACCUGUUGGGGGCUGGUUUCUCCAUUUCUAAUCUUGGGGCAAACAUGUCUUGCUCCUCCCUCCCUUCCAGGAAGCAGAGUUAACAGAACACAGGUGUUUGUAGCUCUGGCCACGAGCCUUAAAGUCCUUGAAAGAUGAGUCCUGGCUCGUGACCCUCCCCGUGGCCAGUACUGGCUACAUAACUCGUGGGGCCCAGCACAAAAUGGAAAUGUUAUGCCCGUGGAUUGCAAAUUAGUAAGAACUUCAAGGCGGUGGCCUCAGAGCAGUAAACCGAGGCUGGGGCCCUUCUGAGUGUGGGGUCCCGUGUGACUGUACGGGCUGCACACCCACGAAGCCAGCCCUACCUGUGGCUGUUGAUUCUGGAGAAGGGAAGAAAAGAUCUUAAAAGGAGAUUGGUGGGACAUCUUGGGAGCACCCAAAAUAGGACAAAUCAAUAAAGUCACCAUGGAGAUCAGGUUCUAGUUUCUUGAAAGACACAAUUUCAGACUAGAAAGAGUGUUAAAAUUCAUCUAGUAAAGACAAAUAUCAUAUGAUAUCACUUAUUUGUGGAAUCUAAAAAAAUAGUACAAAUGACCUUAUUUACAAAACAGAAAUAGAGUCACAGAUGUAGAAAACGAAUUUACGGUUACCAAGGGGGAAAGGAGGAGGAUAAACUGGGAGAUUGGGAUUGACAUAUGCACACUACUAUAUAUAAAAUAGAUAACUAAUGAGGAUCUACUGUAUAGCACAAGGAACUCUACUCAAUACUCUGUAAGGAUGUAUACGGGAAAAUAAAGAAGAGUGGAUAUAUGUAUAACUGAUUCACUUUGCUGUACACCUGAAACUAACACAACUAUAUCAAACUAAAUCAACUAUAUUUCAAUAAAAUUUUUUUAAAAAGUAUUAAGUCCACAAGGACCAAGGAAAUGGGAGGAGAGGCAAUGGUAAUUGAAGAGGAUUUGAAAGUGGGCAUGUGGGGUAGGAGGACGCACAGACCAGAAAUGGGGGAAUUGAGUGAAAAUCUGAAUACUGCCCCUCCCCCUUCCUAGAAUGCCUAGUAGCAAGUUUUAUAUCCCCACCCAAGGCAGGAGAUAAGAAUCUUCUCUGGAGUAAAUCCCAGAGACUACCAUUUGGGAUUCUUUACAAUGAGCUGGUUUGAAGUUCUGUCCUAUUAGACUGAAGCCCUAGGACCCAAGUCUGGCAUACGUGCAAAGAGAUUUCUAGGCUCCCAAGUGAGAGCCGAUGGCUAAGUACCUCCAGACACAGGGGAAAUCUUCUAACUUGAAGACAGAAAACAAAACAAAAAAAAAAAAAAAUGGGAAAAAGAAUUGGGAGGAUCAGAGACAACCUCAAACUGACAAUCUCCCUGAAAAGAGUAGGGAUGAUCUAUGAAAGAAGAACCAGAAAGCUUUGGGG
rnacentral:lncRNA from 1 species